CCAGACUCCUACGGGAGGCAGCAGUGGGGGAUAUUGCACAAUGGGGGGAACCCUGAUGCAGCGACGCCGCGUGGGUGAAGGAGCGUUUCGGCGCGUAAAGCCCUAUCGGCAGGGAAGAAGGAGGACGGUACCUGACUAAGAAGCCCCGGCUAACUACGUGCCAGCAGCCGCGGUAAUACGUAGGGGGCAAGCGUUAUCCGGAUUUACUGGGUGUAAAGGGAGCGUAGACGGCGAUGCAAGCCAGAUGUGAAAGCCCGCGGCUCAACUGCGGUAGUGCAUUUGGAACUGUAUGGCUGGAGUGCAGGAGAGGCAGGCGGAAUUCCUAGUGUAGCGGUGAAAUGCGUAGAUAUUAGGGGGAACACCAGUGGCGAAGGCGGCCUGCUGGACUGUAACUGACGUUGAGGCUCGAAAGCGUGGGGAGCAAACAGGAUUAGAUACCCCAGUAUG
rnacentral:rRNA from 1 species